rfam:Camelus ferus unplaced genomic scaffold scaffold460, whole genome shotgun sequence.
GUGGGUAUAGCUCAGUGGUAGAGCACAUGCUUAGCAUGCAUGAUGUCCCUGGUUCAAUCCCCAGUACCUCUA